rnacentral:rRNA from 1 species
AAGCAUCAGGUAACAUUAAAUCGUACCCCAAACCGACACAGGUGGUCAGGUAGAGAAUACCAAGGCGCUUGAGAGAACUCGGGUGAAGGAACUAGGCAAAAUGGUGCCGUAACUUCGGGAGAAGGCACGCUGGUGUGUAGGUGAAGUCCCUGCGGAUGGAGCUGAGACCAGUCGAAGAUACCAGCUGGCUGCAACUGUUUAUUAAAAACAUAGCACUCUGCAAACACGAAAGUGGACGUAUACGGUGUGACGCCUGCCCGGUGCCGGAAGGUUAAUUG